rnacentral:lncRNA from 1 species
AGUUACAGGAUGUUAGAUCCGGUACAGAAGAGAAUGAGGAAAAGCUACUUAUCAGAGGAAAGAUCACCGAUCACUGGACAAAUCGUAACCAGGCUCUGGACCUGCAACAUUCCAACCUCUCCACACAGCGCGGUGGCUCUGAUUGGCCCUUCAACCUUUACAAACACAGCUGCUUUCUAGGAAUGCCCUCCCACACUAGCAAUUCCAUCGCCCUACGAGCUAAGAUCUGGCAUCUUCGAGUGCCAUGCAAGCAGAG